AUUGAACGCUGGCGGCAGGCUUAACACAUGCAAGUCGAGCGGGGUGAUGGUGCUUGCACUAUCACUUAGCGGCGGACGGGUGAGUAAUGCUUAGGAAUCUGCCUAUUAGUGGGGGACAACAUCUCGAAAGGGAUGCUAAUACCGCAUACAUCCUACGGGAGAAAGCAGGGGAUCACUUGUGACCUUGCGCUAAUAGAUGAGCCUAAGUCGGAUUAGCUAGUUGGUGGGGUAAAGGCCUACCAAGGCGACGAUCUGUAGCGGGUCUGAGAGGAUGGUCCGCCACACUGGGACUGAGACACGGCCCAGACUCCUACGGGAGGCAGCAGUGGGGAAUAUUGGACAAUGGGGGGAACCCUGAUCCAGCCAUGCCGCGUGUGUGAAGAAGGCCUUAUGGUUGUAAAGCACUUUAAGCGAGGAGGAGGCUCUUUUGGUUAAUACCCAAGAUGAGUGGACGUUACUCGCAGAAUAAGCACCGGCUAACUCUGUGCCAGCAGCCGCGUAA
rnacentral:rRNA from 1 species